rnacentral:rRNA from 1 species
AUUGAACGCUGGCGGCAGGCCUAACACAUGCAAGUCGAGCGGAUGAGAGGAGCUUGCUCUUCGAUUCAGCGGCGGACGGGUGAGUAAUGCCUAGGAAUCUGCCCAGUAGUGGGGGACAACGUUUCGAAAGGAACGCUAAUACCGCAUACGUCCUACGGGAGAAAGUGGGGGAUCUUCGGACCUCACGCUAUUGGAUGAGCCUAGGUCGGAUUAGCUAGUUGGUAGGGUAAAGGCCUACCAAGGCGACGAUCCGUAACUGGUCUGAGAGGAUGAUCAGUCACACUGGAACUGAGACACGGUCCAGACUCCUACGGGAGGCAGCAGUGGGGAAUAUUGGACAAUGGGCGCAAGCCUGAUCCAGCCAUGCCGCGUGCGUGAAGAAGGCCCUCGGGUCGUAAAGCACUUUAAGUUGGGAGGAAGGGCUUACAGCGAAUACCUGUGAGUUUUGACGUUACCGACAGAAUAAGCACCGGCUAACUUCGUGCCAGCCGCCGCGGUAA